rnacentral:rRNA from 1 species
UACGUAGGGUCCGAGCGUUGUCCGGAAUUACUGGGCGUAAAGAGCUCGUAGGUGGUUUGUCGCGUUGUCCGUGAAAACUCACAGCUUAACUGUGGGCGUGCGGGCGAUACGGGCAGACUGGAGUACUGCAGGGGAGACUGGAAUUCCUGGUGUAGCGGUGGAAUGCGCAGAUAUCAGGAGGAACACCGGUGGCUAAGGCGGGUCUCUGGGCAGUAACUGACGCUGAGGAGCGAAAGCGUGGGGAGCGAACAGG